rnacentral:misc_RNA from 1 species
GAUGAAGAACGUAGCGAAAUGCGAUAAGUAGUGUGAAUUGCAGAAUUCAGUGAAUCAUCGAAUCUUUGAACGCACAUUGCGCCCCUUGGUAUCCCGAGGGGCAUGCCUGUUCGAGCGUCAUUUCACCACUCAAGCCUGGCUUGGUGUUGGGCGACGUCCCCUUUGGGGACGCGCCUCGAAACGCUCGGCCGCGUGGCACCGGCUUUAAGCGUAGCAGAAUCUUUCGCUUUGGAAGUCGGGGCCCCGUCUGCCGGAAGACCUACUCGCAAGGUUGACCUCGGAUCAGGCAGGGAUACCCGCUGAACUUAAGCAUAUCAAUAAGCGGAGGA